UUUUUUUUUUUUUGGGGGGGGGGGCAGGAAGUGACGUAUGAGCUGUCAAAAUGUUUCAUGGAUUGUAUACCUACUCUCCUUUUUCCCCUCAGUGAGAUGUGAAGAUAUGAUGAGGUUUUUUUUUUUUUUUUUGAGGCAUGGCGCUGGAAAAAGUGGACACUGUGGUCUGUUGUUGUUCAGGUAUUGCACUGGUUGUUUUAGGGGGACGACCAGCACUUGCUUGGGUCUGGGACUUUAAGGUCUUGCAUUGGGCAUGUUAUAAAGGAUGGCAUUGCUUCAGAUAGUAAAAAAGAUUAAUGGCAGUGUUUCCCCUACUGUUGUCUUGGCAGGGCCGGUCGCUCUGCCAACGCGACCCCCUGCCCUCCCAAGAACGGCAAAGAAAAAAAUUUGAACAUUUCUUUCCCCGCUUCCUCUUUCACGUGCAUCUCCGCGUAUGCGUCUGCUCACAGGAGCGGAGGAGCCGCAGAGGAGACAGGCUGACAGCUUGUGCUUAAGAGUAAGAAAAGCUCUGACGAAUUUUGUAAGUUUUUGAAAAUCAUAGAUGGACAGACACCGACCCUAAAUGUCCAAAGCUGCCUCGGAACACCACCAUGUCACAUGGAAUUAAAACAUUGCAGGAGUAAUGAUGCAUUCCAUUUACAUCGGAGGUUGAAACUGGGACUGACUUCAACUCCGAGUUAGGAUGGGAUGGGAACAUAGAUGGAUGUCGUUCCCGGGUCUGAAAAAUGAAGCCAAUGUGGAAGUGCCUUAAACCUGCACUUCUAUCGAAUGGCCAGCAUGGGGCAACACGUAAUUGUGGUAUGCUUUAGGGCGUGGUUACUGUGCGACUGACAGUGUCAAUCAUGACAGAAUACAGAGUGAUUCGUCUCAGAGCUGUUAACUGAUGAACUGAUAGCACACAAUGACAGAGUUCAUUUUAGCAUCUUGCUUGCCCGAAAAUAUCUCGUUCGAGGUUCAGUUGUACUAACGGAAACUCCAAGGAGACGGCUAUUCAUUUCUUGGUAAGUACAUUUUGUUUUAAGCCUGUGUUUCGCUAGCCAAAAUGGGCAUCCCACUUAAUAUCACAGUUAUGGGAAUUAUGGCUGCACCUUGCUAAACAAGCUAACUAGCUCAUGCUAGCAUUAGCUGCUAACUUCGCGUUUAUACUAUGCUACCAGUAUGUGGCCCCGCCGGGCUGGUGACCUGUAUUAACUGUGGGGGUAUUAAAACAACGCUAAGCUAACGACAUUUGUUUUGUGGCUCUGGCAAACAAAGAAAGUGUAUUGUGCUAGUUUAAUGUACUGCAUUAAUGCAAGUUAAUAAAACUGUCCAUCAUGUGUGGUUUAGGUUAACAUGAUGUUUAGAUAAUUUACUUGUGGUUAAAACGGUGUCAUCAACUUUUCACAAUAUGACAAAGUGUUUAAUUUUUUUUUACACAAUAUGUAGGAAAACAUUCUGUAGGAGUUUGGUAAGUUAAUGCUGAAAGUACAUGACAGUCCUCAAAUGAAGCAGACAUUUAUACCCCUGACAGCUGGCUCAUGUAUGUGAUUCAUUGUGAUCCACCAUUUCUUAACUAAAGUGUUUGUCUUUUACUGUAAUUCAAAGGUAUCCAUACUGUGAAAACAGAAUGACUGGUACCAGCAGCAGGAGCAACCUCAUGGAGCACUGUAUUUGGAGAAGGGAGACUACAUCAACAACAUUCUUAUUCUCAAAUGGGUUAUGAUGAUGCCAGAAAACCAUUUCUUGCCUUUGACUUUGUUUUUUAGGUGAUAAAAAACUGGAAUUAAAUGAUGGGUCCACUCCAGCACAGUCAGAAGUCAGCUAGAAGUGCAAUCAGGACCCACCUUUGUAAUUUGUGUUCGGCUUGUUAUAUUGAAUUUUAAAUAAACCUACUGUGAUAAUGGUA